rnacentral:rRNA from 1 species
GAUGAACGCUGGCGGCGUGCCUAAUACAUGCAAGUCGAGCGAACAGACGAGAGUGCUUGCACUCUCUGACGUUAGCGGCGGACGGGUGGGUAACACGUGGGUAACCUACCUAUAAGACUGGGAUAACUUCGGGAAACCGGAGCUAAUACCGGAUAAUAUUUAGCUUCGCAUGAAGCAAUAGUGAAAGACGGUUCUGCUGUCACUUAUAGAUGGACCCGCGGUGUAUUAGCUAGUUGGUGAGGUAACGGCUCACCAAGGCAACGAUACAUAGCCGACCUGAGAGGGUGAUCGGCCACACUGGGACUGAGACACGGCCCAGACUCCUACGGGAGGCAGCAGUAGGGAAUCUUCCGCAAUGGACGAAAGUCUGACGGAGCAAUGCCGCGUGAGUGAAGAAGGUUUUCGGAUCGUAAAACUCUGUUGUAAGGGAAGAACAAGUACGUUAGUAACUGAACGUACCUUGACGGUACCUUACCAGAAAGCCACGGCUAACUACGUG